UCCUGCACCCAAAAGUGACUGCCUGCUGUCUUUGCCCUGGUCAUUGAUAGUGUAGGGAGAGGAAUCACUGAAAAAAGUUCUGUGUUUGAAGGGUCCAGCCAGCCAUCCCCUUCCAAGCCCUGGAACUUUCCUGCA